GGAGNAAAGCAGGGGAUCGCAAGACCUCGUGCUCGUAGAGCGGCCGAUAUCUGAUUAGCUAGUUGGUAGGGUAAAAGCCUACCAAGGCGACGAUCAGUAGCUGGUCUGAGAGGACGACCAGCCACACUGGGACUGAGACACGGCCCAGACUCCUACGGGAGGCAGCAGUGGGGAAUUUUGGACAAUGGGGGCAACCCUGAUCCAGCAAUGCCGCGUGUGUGAAGAAGGCCUUCGGGUUGUAAAGCGCUUUUGUCCGGAACGAAACGCGCCGAGCUAAUACCUUGGCGUAAUGACGGUACCGGAAGAAUAAGCACCGGCUAACUACGUGCCAGCAGCCGCGGUAAUGCGUAGGGUGCGAGCGUUAAUCGGAAUUACUGGGCGUAAAGCGUGCGCAGGCGGUUGUGCAAGACAGAGGUGAAAUCCCCGGGCUUAACCUGGGAAUUGCGUUUGAAACUACAAGGCUAG
rnacentral:rRNA from 1 species